CUCGACUUCAGGCUGCUCCUCGUGCUUCGUCCAGCCACACUCCGAGCUCCACUUUUGCCUUUAGGCAUUAUGGGGAGGUGGAAAAGAAGAAAGUCAUCAUUGACAGCCUCUCAGAUUCCAGCAGCUGCUCGUCAUCCAAAAGACAUCUUUCAAGACAGACCACUCCUCGGCUUUUGUGGCACUGACACACUGAGACAAUGCAGCUGAAUCUUCCUUUCCUUGUUCUUUGCCUUCUCGGCACAGUGAUCCCGUGUGGAGGGCAGUUAAAUUCUACGACCAUCAGUCCCUCAAAUUCAACAUCUAGCAUGAAUGCCACGACACCUGAUCUAUCCAGUCCUGGUCCGUCCAGUCCUGGUCCGUCCAGCCCUGGUCCGUCCAGCCCUGGUCCGUCCAGCACUGGUCCAUCCAACACUACUGGACCGUCUACAGAAAAUGCAACUGUUACGGGAACACCUGCAAUCCCGACAGGCGGGUCUGUGGAGGGAGGUUCACCAGAAGGACUCUCAUCUGGAGCUAUAGCUGGCAUUGCCAUUGGCUCCAUCGCCGGGGUGGCUGCUCUUGGUGGAGGUAUCUUUGGCGCGCUGAAGUACACAAACAGGAUCUGAGGCCAUUCAAAUCCUGACCCCUUCAACUGGACAAUGAACAUAUCUUAAUGUCUGACAGGCUCAAAUCAGAAUAAAACAAUAUGACAUGAAUGACUUGGGCCAAGAGGAAGACAUUAAAGUAAAUUUGACUACUAAAUAAUCUUCAUAUCAUAUUAAUCAUAAAGACUAACAGUUGAGAUAUAGAUGUUUUUUUAAUAUACUUAUUAUAUUUGUGUCAUGUUUUUUAUUCAGUGGUUGAAAACGAUGCUUUUAGUUUGAAAUAGAAUGAAAAGUAUUUUUUUAGAAUGGAUUACAUUUAAUUGUCGGGAAGGUUUGCUCUAUUAUACAGUAUAUAUCUUAAUAUCCUUCACAUCUAAUAACUUUGGUCUUUUGUAUUUCAAUAUUCAGGGUAGCUAAACAACAUGGCAGAAUUAUUAAUAACUACUUUUCUUUUUUACAAUAGCAGUCUACAGCGUGUGAAUCAUGUGCAGGUCGUGGGAUCUCAGAGAAAAAAUAAAUUGGUGACUCAAUGCCACUGGGAUACGGAAAAUGCAGAACAAUACUCCUCUUUCUUGCUCUUCUGUGAGAACUAAACAAAAACAGGAGAAAAAACGAAUACAUUUCAUGAAUACAGAUAUUCCUUGAGAUAUUCUUUUCAGUUGAGUAUGUUGUGUUGACUGUUGACUGGGCUCGGAGAAAAAAAGCUUUGUAAUCAAUCUAUACAUUUAAUAAAUGACUGUUUUCCAUUGGUC